AAUCCUGAUGAUGAUAAUAAGACAUUGUUAACCUGAUCCCCACGUGGGAUUGAGGACAAGUCCUGCAAUUCUGAAAGGGUU